rnacentral:rRNA from 1 species
GAUGAGCGCUGGCGGCGUGCCUAACACAUGCAAGUCGAGCGAUUUACUUCGGUAAAGAGCGGCGGACGGGUGAGUAACGCGUGGGUAACCUGCCCUGUACACACGGAUAACAUACCGAAAGGUAUGCUAAUACGAGAUAAUAUACUUUUAUCGCAUGGUAGAAGUAUCAAAGCUUUUGCGGUACAGGAUGGACCCGCGUCUGAUUAGCUAGUUGGUAAGGUAACGGCUUACCAAGGCGACGAUCAGUAGCCGACCUGAGAGGGUGAUCGGCCACAUGGGAACUGAGACACGGUCCAAACUCCUACGGGAGGCAGCAGUGGGGAAUAUUGCACAAUGGGCGAAAGCCUGAUGCAGCAACGCCGCGUGAGCGAUGAAGGCCUUCGGGUCGUAAAGCUCUGUCCUCAAGGAAGAUAAUGACGGUACUUGAGGAGGAAGCCCCGGCUAACUACGUGCCAGCCGCCGCAGUAA